UUUGAGGGAGCCCAUCAAAUCUUUCUGGCACAAUUCUUUGUGGGGCCGAGAAAUGACUUUUCUCCCUCUUUCUUUUUGAGAUGGCAGUGUUAUGGGUGCAUUUAUCUCUGCGUUCAGGUGCAGCAAGACAGAGAUGAAGAAGAAAAUCUGCCAAGCACUAGGAAACAAUAUUAAACAAGCACCUAGAGGAAAUUGCAAAGUACUUUCUAUUUUAUCAGGAUUUCUAAUUCCAGCAUGAUGAUUUAUGAAAGUAAAUGGAGGCUACAAAGAAAGGAGUGAUAACGUGAUAUGUACACUUUAAUAUCCACCGUCUGUACCCUGAUGGUGAAGUCAAGAGCACAGGGCAGUCCUUGGGCGAAGUUAUAUACGUGGAGUCACCAUUGGCUGACCCCAGCAGAAGCCAGGAGGACGAGAAAGCCUGGGUAAUGCAGGUCAUAAAGAGAUGGGCAGAAGGGAGAUCUAGAAACGCAAAUUAAAAAUAACUAGCAAACA